GAUGAACGCUAGCUACAGGCUUAACACAUGCAAGUCGAGGGACCGGCGCACGGGUGAGUAACACGUAUCCAACCUGCCCUUUACUCGGGGAUAGCCUUUCGAAAGAAAGAUUAAUACCCGACAUAAAGGAUGGGGAUGCGUUCCAUUAGGUUGUUGGUGAGGUAACGGCUCACCAAGCCUUCGAUGGAUAGGGGUUCUGAGAGGAAGUUCCCCCACAUUGGAAAUGUGACACGUCCCAAACUCCUACGGGGGGCAGCAGUGAGGAAUAUUGGUCAAUGGGCGCUAGCCUGAACCAUCCAAGUAGCGUGAAGGAUGAAUGCUUAUGGGUCGUAAACUUCUUUUAUAUUAUUAUAUGCUUUAUAUGAAUAAGGAUCUGCUAACUCCGUGCCAGCCGCCGCGUUUAUUC
rnacentral:rRNA from 1 species